rnacentral:rRNA from 1 species
CAGCCGCCGCGGUAAAACGGAGGGUGCAAGCGUUAAUCGGAAUUACUGGGCGUAAAGCGCACGCAGGCGGUCUGACAAGUCAGAUGUGAAAUCCCCGGGCUUAACCUGGGAACUGCAUUUGAAACUGUCAGGCUGGAGUCUUGUAGAGGGGGGUGGAAUUCCAGGUGUAGCGGUGAAAUGCGUAGAGAUCUGGAGGAAUACCGGUGGCGAAGGCGGCCCCCUGGACAAAGACUGACGCUCAGGUGCGAAAGCGUGGGGAGCAAACAGGAUUAGAUACCCGGGUAGUCCCUGUCUCUUAUAC